ACAACAGUGAGAGGCCCGCGUACCGCAAAAAAAAUAAAAUGAAAUAAAACAGGAGGGAUUGAUUCUCCUCACCUAAUGUGUGACUUUGAGCAAAUACCUCCAUUUCUCAGGACCUCAGUUCCCUCAUUCAUGAAACGGGGAGAAUUAUGGCACCAUCUCCUAAGGUUGUCAGGAUCAGAAGAGAGAGCGUGGUGGAAGUGCCAUGUGAAUUAUUUAGCGCUGUCCAUAUUCAUUUUCUGUUGCUCAUCUCUUCCCCUAUUGACACUUGGGGCACCUCAGCCACAGCCCUGUCUUUCUGAGGGAGUGAGCGUGGCCUCCGGGACAAAGGAGCCUGAGUCUGCAGCGGGCCCUUUGUGCUUCCUUCCCUUCAGGUGGCCUCUCUCCCCCUGGGCCACUCCUGGGGGUGAGGGGGUUACCCCUUCCCAGUGUUUUUGUUCCUGUGGGGCUCACUCCAAAGUAUUAAAAGUAGCUUUAUAAUUUAAAAAAAAAAGGAAAAAGAAAGGAGGGCUCAUUUAUGAUAAAGGUCUCUAUGACAAGGGCUCAUCUCUCAGAUGGGGGAAGGGCGCAUACCCCUUGGACCCUGGGCCAUGGGAGUGCCAGGAGGGUCAGCAUAUGGGGUAGAGGGAGGUCUGUGCUGUAGGGCAAGGGGUGUAGUCAGAGAGGGGUGGAAGCUAUGGUUGUGCUGGUUCACUCACUUUGCUAUUGAACUUCCCCAGGCGCUCAUCUUCAGCACCUUUGUCUUACCUCCUGGGUCUCCUCCAUCUACCAAUAAGAAACCAUGUUGGGAGGGCGCAGCUCUGGGAUGAGGUCUAGGGGAACAGGAGCUACUGGGUCCCUGGGAGCCUCUUUUGGGACUCUUUGACCUUGACAACCCCUUGUCCCUCUCCCCUGGGCCCCAGGUCAGCACACCAGUUUCUUCCUGACCAAAGAGCAGAGCCACGCCCAAAUGAAUGAAUUUUCCUGGAAGGAUGUUGCCAGUGCCUUGUCCGUGGCCAACAUGAUCCUGGGGCUCUUCUCCAUCUUCUGCAGUUUCUGCAAGAAGUCCCCCUGUGCCUCCUGGAUGCUUUUGGUCAGCUUUCUAUUAGACAUGGCUAUCGGGGCAAUGACCAGACACCUCUACAUCUGCUCCACAUCAGGAGCCAAGCUGAAUGACUUUGCUGUCUUCACCACCUUUGGCCUGGCCUCAGCCCUGCUUCUAGGCAUGGAUGGGCCUCUGAAUGGCUUCCUGGCCAUCAUCUAUGUGUUGGCUAUUUCAGUCCGCCUCUGUUUCUAUUCAGCUGGCGUUCCCUUCACAUACAAGGGUCUACCCUGCCCCUAUGCUUCCUGUGUUUUGGCCUCCACCUCCCUCCUGACCAAAGGCAACACAUUCAUUCUCUCUUGCAUGGCUUCAUUCAUGAUUCUAUUCAUGAUGGACCAGAGCUACUACCCACAUGACGAAAUCCUGGAGUCUGAGAACUGGAAAAAAAUGGUCUAUCUGGGAGGAAGGAUUUACAAAGGUCAGAGUGGGAGCAACAAUAAUAUACCCUGGUGUGAGGAUUACAUGUGGUGAUGCAUGUGCCUGGCACAUCUGAGGAGCUCAACAAGGGCCAGCUGCAUCGACAGUGCAAGAUCGGUCCUACCACAAAAGCUCUGCGCCAGGAGUCAUCUGGUACCGGUCGGGGUUCUGACACUUGGCAUGUGACUCUGGAACCUCAGUGAUCUCCUCUGGAAACCUGGGAUAACACCUGUUUUGGCUGGAUUGGCUGGAGGCAGGUGGAUCCAUGACUUGGCUUCUAUAUACUUCUUAGUCAGCUCUGACCUGGAUGGUACAGAAGAAGGCGGAUCUAAAAACAAAAAAAGAACGAACGAACGAACUUCCAUUCACUAAUGCCAUACCUCAGCCCCUUCCUUUGGCAGGGGAGGCAGAGGGGCCCGGGGAAAAGGGCGCUGCAUUGGAGGAGUAAAACCUGAGUCCCACUGCCACCACCUCGCUGGGUGUCUCUAGGCAAAUCUCCUCCCCACUCUGAGCUUUAGUUUUCUCCGUCUGCACAAUGGGACAACAGUCCAUCCCCUGGCCCCCUCCCACGAGCUGCCGUGUGCGCACCAAAUGCGAAGAGCCCUGUGAACGGUUUCCUACACUGUAGCGCGCUGCAUCCAGCGUGGGACCGCCAGAAUUACGAGGACACCGCGGCCCAAAGGGACCGACCGGCCGAAGUCUCGAAGCGGGCUGACGGAGAGCCCAAGGCUCGCGCGGCCUCCAGCCUCCGGACCAGGGCUUUCCCACCUCUGCCCUCCCAGAAGGUUACGGCCCGCUCGGCCCGAGGGGCCCGCCCUCCUCCACCGCCCCGCCCGGGCCCAAGCCCGGCCCCAGGAGAGCUCCCCUCCCGCCGCCGCCCACUCCCGGUGCAAAACGGCGGCUGGAGACGGGCGGCGCUCGGGAGUCGCGGCCUUCCCUCCCGGGUCUCGGGACUCGGACAAGGGCCCAAGGGUGAACCCCCGCCUUCCCCUACCUCCCAGCCUGCAGUACGAGCCUGCCGCGCCUCGGAUUGGGCGGGGCCGGGAGGCGGAGGGCGGGCCGGCGCGUCGAGGCCCCGCCCACAGGGAGGCCCGCGCGUGCGUAGAGAGCGUGUCUGGACGCCUCGCAUCGGUGCUGGUGCUGGAGCUGGAGCUGGAGCUGGAGAUGGGGCAGGGGC